rnacentral:rRNA from 1 species
UGGGGAAUAUUGCACAAUGGGGGGAACCCUGAUGCAGCCAUGCCGCGUGAAUGAAGAAGGCCUUCGGGUUGUAAAGUUCUUUCGGUGAUGAGGAAGGUGUUUGUUUUAAUAGAACAAGCAAUUGACGUUAGUCACAGAAGAAGCACCGGCUAACUCCGUGCCAGCAGCCGCGGUAAUACGGAGGGUGCGAGCGUUAAUCGGAAUGACUGGGCGUAAAGGGCACGCAGGCGGUGACUUAAGUGAGAUGUGAAAGCCCCGGGCUUAACCUGGGAAUUGCAUUUCAUACUGGGUCGCUAGAGUAUUUUAGGGAGGGGUAGAAUUCCACGUGUAGCGGUGAAAUGCGUAGAGAUGUGGAGGAAUACCGAAGGCGAAGGCAGCCCCUUGGGAAUAUACUGACGCUCAUGUGCGAAAGCGUGGGGA